rnacentral:tRNA from 1 species
GCCUGGCUAGCUCAGUCGGUAGAGCAUGAGACUCUUUAUCUCAGGCUCCUGGGUUCGAGCCCCACGAUGGCG